CUGCCUCAAUUUUUAAUGUUUCAUAUAUAAAUGAAAAUAAAAAUCAUAGUUCCCCCCCUCUUUCCUGUAAGUUUCUAUUUUUAACUCCUGUACAAUAUCAGAUCUAAUACCCUUGUGUUCUUUCCCUAGUCCUGGUUCCUGCCCAUGUAACAUACACCUGCUCAGGAAUCCAGGUAUACCUGGGAUGCUUCCUACCCAAUUCUGUUAUUUUUAUUGUGAUUAAAAUAUUGAGAAACUGGUUCCACUAUAGAUCAGUACUCCAUAUAUAUUAUGAAUGGAUAGGUCUAUGGAUGGAAUAGCAGAAACUACCUGACAUGAGGAAUCAUUCAUUUCAGAAAUGUGGCAUAGGUACAUAUUCACUCUUUGCUGGGACAGAAUGUUCAUAUACGGAGUUCAGAAAUCUCAGUGCCAGUUGAAAUUUGGCAGUUGGUUCCUUCCAGCUGUUCUUAAAGGUAUUCUCUCCGCGGGGAUUUAAAAGUGACUCCUAGUCAUGGCUUAAGAUUUUUAGGUUUCACUGUUUCUGUUUUGAUUCUUCCCUUUGGAAAACAGAGAAAAUGCAACAUUUAUCCAGUAGUGAAGGGUUUAUGAAGUUCUUCAGAGUUAGAUCUAAAUUAUCACAGCUGUCAAUAGUUGGGUCUCUUCAUCUUCCUGAUAUAUGGGGUAUACAACACAGAGGUAAGUCGGCUUGGAGUAUCUCAAGGCUGACAGUGAAUGAGAGAAAUGACAGGUUUCUUAUCUUGAUAACUGAGGAACAAAGUUGGCUUUUCAGAUGAGUGUCCUACUGCCCUUCAUGCUUGGACUGGCUUAUAUGCAUCCCAGCUUACCAUUAAACACUGACACCCUGAAUAAAGGGACAGCCUCAUUUCUCA
rnacentral:lncRNA from 12 species